UUCUCAACUAACCUACCUGGUUAAAUAAAGGUGUUCUCAACUAGCCUACCUGGUUAAAUAAAGGUGUUCUCAACUAUUCCUACCCGGUUAAAUAAAGGUGUUCUCAACUAGUCUACCCGGUUCAAUAAAGGUGUUCUCAACUAGCCUACCUGGUUAAAUAAAGGUGUUCUCAACUAGUCUACCCGGUUCAAUAAAGGUGUUCUCAACUAGCCUACCUGGUUAAAUAAAGGUGAAAUCAAUAACAAUACCUGUAUAGCACAUGUUCAUAUGAAGUGGUCUCUGUUUGAAGUCAUCUUUUUGUACAGUUGUCCCCGUAUGAGUUUCAUGUCUAUGUGCGUUUGAGUGUUGUACUGCCUGGUUUCCUAGCCCGCCUGCUUGCCGUUAGGCUAGCCUGGUGCCAACUCUGUUUUGCGUUAUCACGUCAACUCCUUGUCAUAAUGGCACACACAUCUGGGAACAGGCUACAAUUCAGUAGGAAAUACAGCCAUCGAUUUCAUCCUCAAUUACCGUACUGAAUUUCAGUAACUACUCUUGCUCUCCCCCAGGACUAGGGUGAUGUUGACCCGGGAUGCUGAUCUUGGGUCAGUUUUGCAUUUCACUAAUGCUUAGGCUUGGGGAAGGUGGAAUCUGAUCCUAGAUCUGUAUCUAGGGGAAUCUGAUCCUAGGUCUGUAUAGUAGGGGAAUCUGAUCCUAGAUCUGUAUCUAGGGGAAUCUGAUACUAGAUCUGUA
ensembl:lncRNA